GAUGAACGCUAGCUACAGGCCUAACACAUGCAAGUCGAGGGACCGGCGCACGGGUGAGUAACACGUAUCCAACCUGCCUUUUACUCGGGGAUAGCUUUUAGAAAGAAAGAUUAAUACCCGACGUAAAGGAUGGGGAUGCGUUCCAUUAGGUUGUUGGUAAGGUAACGGCUCACCAAGCCUUCGAUGGAUAGGGGUGCUGAGGGGAAGGUCCCCCACAUUGGAACUAAGGCCCAGACCAAACUCCGACGGAAGACAGGAGUAAGGAAUAUUGGUCGAUGAACGUUAGCCUGAACCAGCCAAGUAGCGUGAAGAAUGAAGGCUUAUUAAUCUUAAACUUCUUGUAUGUAAGAAUAUGUAUUAUAUGAAUAAGGAUCGGCUAACUCCGUGCCAGCAGCCGCGGUAAUAC
rnacentral:rRNA from 1 species